CAAAGCGAGCAUAUAUUUAAAUUGAUAAAGGGCCAGAUAUGCCCUUCAACUAUACGAUAUAGCGCGCAUCUACCCGUGUUUAAAUGUUGUCCCACACAUGCCCUUACCAUUACGUUUUGGAUUACUCGUGGCCUUCUACUAGCAUCAUCCACUUUCAACCCGGAUGCCACUUAUUUUAGCCAAACACACUAACCCGGUUUAAAAAUCCGAACCCCCAUCUUCAUUUCCCAUUUCUUUUCUCAUUUUAUCUCAUUUCCCCUCUCUCUUCGCGUAGUACGAUUCUAGGGUUUUCGACGAUUCAUUUCAUCUGGUCGAAAGAGGGUUUUCUUUCCUAUUUCCAGUUGUAUUGAUUAAGGUAUGACAUUUUAUGCAUCUUUUUCUCUUUUGUAUGCUAGUUAGGGUUUUUUCUGAAGUGUUUUUUGUGAUCGACCAUCUUACCUCUCAAAGCAAUUAGAAGGGGAUACAACUGCAAGUCCUUCAAUAAGCUCUUCCUCUCGGGUCCUCUUAUCGCCAUCUGAUAGACAGAGUUCAAUUCCGUUUUCAAAAACAUCCGAGUCACUGUAGUCAUCUCUUAUGCCUUCAUUUGCAGAUCAACCUGCUAGAUUUUCUUAGUUCCCUUUCUCUUAAAAGCCUUUCCAAUCUAGAUGUCAGCAGAAUCAUAAUUAUACUUGAUUCCGGGCGUUUGUAGGAUCUGUGUUUGAAUUGAAUUAGCAUAAAUCAUGAAACAUAUGAUGCAUUUUAUUUAGCCACAAAGCACUCCAUCUUAACAAAAAUUUUAAAAUCACAACAUCUCUGCCAAAUGAGGCACUAAUGAAAACAAAUUAACCUUUUUUUGUCACUUAAAAGAAUGAAUAAAUUUCAUAUUCACCAAACAGGACAAUAAGUUGUAGCAUAUUACAUCUCCGCACUUAACAAUGAAACUCAUUAAACUAUAAGGAAACUACCUUAAAGUUGUGAGAUUUAAUAAAUUUAUGAUUGCUUUGAUGGCAAAAUAAGGCUGAACUAGGUAAUGAGUAUUGAGACCAAUGCACAAGGUUAACUGAGGACCCAAAUUAUCAUCCAAAAGUAGAUCAGAAAUGGGAAAGGAGCUUUCACACAAAGACCAAUUGUUAUAAUAAACUAAAGUUAAAAAAAAAGGAAUACAAUUAAAAACAAAAGAAAAAAAAGGAAAGAACAUACAACCAAUCAGCUUUCUUGGCUUCAAUCUUGUCUGUGACUUAGAGAUAACUUUGGACCUCAGCUCUGAAUCUUUCUCAUGGCCAAUAUCUGGGCCAUAGGCUUGUGAUUGUUUUGCCGUGGCUUGAGAAGAGUCAACUGUUUGUUGUGAUUCUUGUGUCAUAGCUUCAGUUGCUGCAUCAAAGUUGAAGUACUCUUCCAACCAGUCAUCACUUUCAACAGUUGAAGAUGAUGCAUUCUUUGAGCCUUUUUGUGAUCGUCCAUCUUGCCUCUCAAAGCCAUUAUGGUGUAGAGUAGCUCUCAAGGCAACAAAUUAUGAUCCUACAAACGCCCGGAAUCAAGUAUAAUUAUGAUUCUGCUGACAUCUAGAUUGGAAAGGCUUCUAAGAGAAAGGGAACUGAGAAAAUCCAGCAAGUUGAUCUGCAAAUGAAAGCACGAGAGACGGCUACAGUGACUCAGACAUUUUUAAAAAAGGAAUUGAACAGUACUCCAUUUAUAUCAAUCUAUUGGACUUAUUUUUUAUUUAAUUUGUCCAAAAAAAGAAUAGCUAUUCCAAGAACCAAAAAAAAAAAAAAAAUAGAGCUACUCUAUACCAUAAUUUGUUGCCUUGAGAGCUACUCUAUACCAUAAUGGCUUUGACAGCCAAGAUGGACGAUCACAAAAAAGGUGGCUCAAAUAAUGCAUCAUCUUUGACUGGUUGGAAGACUACUUCAACUUUAAUGCUGUUGGGUUUUUUGAUAUUGGUGAAUGGGAAAUGAUGGGAUGAAAAGUGAAGGGAAUAUAAAAGGUCCCUUUUUUGCUUUGGGAAAUGUAAAAGGUUCCUUGUGCUUUGGUUAAAGCAUCUGUCCCACAUAGGAAAAAGAGAGAUAAAGAGAGGUGUACAUAUUACAUUACACCUUCUCUAGUUGCUAAAAGGGUUGAGGGGGAAAGGACCCCACGCGCCGUCGUCGUCGCUCGCUCGGCUUUGGCUUUGGCUUUGGCUUUGGCUUUGGCUUUGGAUUUGGAGUGACCCGGAUCCGCGUGUCUGACCCGCGACCCGUUUCUCCCCGGAUUAUUACUUACGAAUUUUUCUGAAAUCCUCUAUUCUUCUACUCUUCUUACAAGUUUUCUUUUCUGUGUGAUAUACUGCCAUUGAGUGGUUCGCCGCUACCAGAAUUUGGAGUACUACUAUUUUGGUAAGAUAAUCGUUCUAUCCUGGGAGGGGAUAUUCCAUCAACCUCGAGUACUGUGAGGGGAAUAAUUUCCUUAAGGACACACUUUGAACUAAGUGGGCUCGAUUAUGUUCUGAAUAUAUUUUUUUUUUCUAACACUGUUUCUGUUCAUUUGUCCAUUUUCUGUAAUUUACUGGUUUUUAGUUUUUACAGAUUGUGUAAUCUGCUUUUACUAAGUGUUUUAUAGAUUCAGAAACUUUAUUUAGAUUUAUACAGAUUAUUUUUAAACAACAAAUGCUGCAACUGAAGCUAUGACACAAGAAUCACAGCAAACAAUUGGCUCUUUCCAACCCACAGCACUACAAUCACAAGCCUAUAGUCCAGUUAUUGGCCAUGAGGAAGAUUCAGAGCUGAGGCCCAAAAUUAUCUUCGUGUCAUAGACAAGAUUGAAGGCAAGAAAGCUGCAAGUGAGGCCACCAACUGGUACAAGAAGAAUUCAGUUUACUGAGGGUGCAGAUGGAAUGUCAAUGCCUACAAACUUGCCUUAUUCACUAACUAAGACAACUUGGAGAGGCAAUGCAGCACUUCCAGCCUACCAGCUUGAACUCAAGCAAGAAGAAAGAGGAUGAAGCUUGGAUCAAAAGGAAAAGGAGCUGAUGUACCUGAUUCUGAUACCUAACAAGAUGUUGCUAGUUUUUGUGAUGGAUGGUUGUACCAAACUGUUGGUAUUGGGGUGGUUAUUUUUGUGAAAAUGUUUAAUGAUGGUUGAUGGACAACUUACUUUAACUUAGUUUUUGUGGAUGAUGGUUGUGAAAAAUAAUUAGUUUUUGGUGAAUUCUGUCACAUUUGUCAUGUCGACUAUUGACAUAUCAAUGUGAAUAUGAAGUUCAGGUGGAAGUGUUUUGUUAAGCAUCACCUUUUGUACAAAACUAUUGGUAUCUUCC